rnacentral:rRNA from 1 species
CCCUUAGAUGUUCUGGGCAGCACGCGCGCUACAAUGGUCUUCGCAAACGGAUGCAUUCUCGAAGGAGGAUGCCAAUCUUGGAAUCUAUGCCUUGGUCGGGACAGUUGCUUGCAAUUUUUCGACUCGAACCAGGAAUUCCUUGUAAUCGUGAUUCAUCACAUCACGAUGAAUACGUCCCUGCCCUUUGUACGCACCGCCCGUCGCUCCUACCGAUCGAAGAGUUAGGUGAAUUGUUUUGAUCGAUAAGAUUUGACUAUGGUCAACUCUCGUUGUGAAAUUCUGUGAAUCUGACUGUUUAGAGGAAGGAAAAGUCGUAACA